rnacentral:tRNA from 1 species
GCCUCCGUAGCUUAAUUGGGAAAGCAGCGGACUUUUAAUCCGUAAGAUGUGGGUUCAAAUCCCGCCGGGGGUA